AGAAGAGGUACAGUACAGAUGUUGACCUGGAAAAGACGGGGUUGAAGAGAGGAGGUACAGUACAGAUGUUGACCUGGAAAAGACGGGGUUGAAGAGAAGCCUGGACUCCCAAAUGAACAUUGUUCCAAAUCACUUUUGUUACAACAGAUCGAUAGUUGGAUUUCAGGCUAUUUAAGGAGAAGUAUGAAAGGGGAAAGUGAUGACAAUGGGGAUGAAGAGGAACAUGAGGAAGAGGAGCAGGAAGAAGAGGGCAGCGUCUGUGUAAACGGAUAGUAGAAAAACUGCCAUGCUAAGUGAAAGAGUGAACCACACUGACCUAGCAGCAACAUUUCGCUUCAUAAAUAUAAAAAUGAUAGAAAUACAUCAACAAGUAAACAAACCACAAAAGUCCACUUCAAUAGUGAUAAUGAAUGACAGGUAGCCAGUCCACUUCAAUAGUGAUAAUGAAUGACAGGUAGCCAGUCCACUUCAAUAGUGAUAAUGAAUGACAGGUAGCCAGUCCACUUCAAUAGUGAUAAUGAAUGACAGGUAGCCAGUCCGCUUCAGUAGUGAUAAUGAAUGACAGGUAGCCAGUCCACUUCAGUAGUGAUAAUGAAUGUAUAUUUAAAGAAAUAUAUCAAAUGUAUAUUCCAGAAUGUAGGAAAGUUAUUGGGUGUUAGUAACUGGGCUGUUGCAUCGUGACGUCUUGAGGGUUGUUAGAGCUAUUUAUGUCUGUUUGGUAACAUUUUAUCCACCUGUAUAAUAACAGUAAUUUAAUCAUAUGUUGUUACAGUAUAUCCAGUUGAAUGUUACUCUGUGUCAGAUGAGGGAAAACAACAUCACAUUACUAUAGUGUGAAGCUACAGCAGAGACUAGAAUUUAACUAAACUAAAUAUCCCCCAAAACACAAAAUACACAACAUAUACUUAAUCAUAUAUAAGCAUAUACGCCUCUGGUAGUUAAACUGAGCCAUCACCAUCAUCUGCAAAAGUACAUCCUCUUUCACCACAUAAAAAUAUUAAAAAAUCUUCUUAACCGUUCUUAUUCCUUUGUCCUGGUUAUUUUUCCUGAGUUUUACAAACAGCUCCUUUGAUUCCAUCCUUCAGUCACUGAGGACUUACAGUACCAGUCAAAAGCUUGGACACACCUACUCAUUCAAGGGUUUUUCUUUCUUUUUACUAGUUUCUACAU
rnacentral:lncRNA from 1 species